CCCAUUGUGGAUUGGAGAUUUGAAAAGGAUAUUAAAAGAAAACAAUUGCUUAAUUAUAGUAUUGAUUUCGGAGUUUGUAUAUUUUGUGGCAAUUGUGUUGAGUACUGUCCAACAAGCUGUUUAUCAAUGACUGAAGAAUAUGAACUUUCUACCUAUGAUCGUCAUGAAUUGAAUUACAAUCAAAUUGCUUUAAGUCGGUUACCAUCCAUAAUGGGAGAUUACACAAUUCAAACAAUUAGGAAUUCGUCUGAAAGUAAAAUAAACAAAGAAAAAUCUUCGAAUUCAAGAACGAUUACUGAUUACUAA
rnacentral:rRNA from 1 species